UUAGCCACUAUUUAGCUUACAAAUAGACCGACUACGAAUAACCCACGUUUAGCCCAGAAAUAACCAUUAAUUUAAUUACAUGUUGUUUUGCCAAAAUGAUUUGUGAGAUGUAUGAUAUUUAAUCAUGUAAACAAAGUUCAAAGCGAUUAAGGUAUUUUGUUUCAUUUCUUUAAAGUGUUUUAUACACCGUCUGUACUAGCCACUAUUUAGCUUACAAAUAGACCGACUACGAAUAACCCACGUUUAGCCCAGAAAUAACCAUUAAUUUAAUUACAUGUGGUUUUUGCCAAAAUAACUUGUGAGAUGGUAUUUCAUUGUAAGCAAAGUUAACAGCGAUUACAAGGUUUGUUUAAUUUCUUUAAAGUGUUUUAUGCACCGUCGUACAUAGCCACUAUUUAGCUCAUAAAUAGACCGACUACGAACAAACCAUGUUUAGCCCAAAAUAACCUUGAAUUUAAUAAAAUUUUGUUUUUGCCAAAAUAACUUGCAAGAAUUAUGAUAUUUUAUCAGGCAUGCAAAUACACCAGUGAAAUUAAGAUGUUUGGUUUAAUUUAUCUUAUCUGAAUAUCUGCUGUCACGCAUAACAUUCAUUUUAUUUGACCGUAUUUCAAAGAUAAACAAAAUUCAGUUACAACUCCGAACCGCUAGAUGGCAGCAGUACACAAACACGGGGCCAAAUCUCACGAGAAAGAUUUCCGCUGUUUGAAAGGCAACAACAUCAGCGAGCAGCCACGAGGAAAGCAAUGUACCACACUCGUUUGGUCUUGUGUCAAAGCUGUGCGAAACUGGAGGGAGAAACUUGAGAGACCGUGCCGGAAGAAUGCUGGACAGAGUUCACUAAAAUUAAUUAAUUUCAAAGUUCAACAUGAAUGGUGGUGGUCCACUGCAGAAGCAAGUAUUUGAAAAAACAUCAGUUCUCAGUUAUUAAAGAUGCUGUGUUGAACAACUUCCCAUCAGCAACAGAACUGGAAGUGAAGGAUGCAAUGGGGGCAUUUCAAACAGGCACCAGGGAGCACGGUAGUGAUGGGUCGUUCGCGAACGCCGGCUCUAAGAGCUGAUUCUUUGUAGCGAACGAGCAGAGCCGAAUCUUCAGACGCAGGCAGGGGAGCCGGCUCUUCUAAGGGAGCUGAGCCAGAAGAGCCGAAUCUAUGAAAAGAGCCGGGCUGCCACCACUAAAAUGUAGAGCCGGAGCUUGAGCCGAAAGAGCCGAAUCAAUGGAAAGAGCCGGACUGCCCAUCACUAGAGCACGGGGAGGGGGGGGUAUAGAAAUUAGUACAAUUAAUAAGUUGACGUGAACUGAAGAUAGUUUGUUAAUGUUUAGAUGUUAUUUCAUUUUUCAAAUUGUAUUUUGUUAUUUAUGCUUUUAUUUUGUUACUGUUUUUAUUCUUUUUGUUAAGUAGUUUUUCUUCAUUUUGUCUUAUCUGAAUUUCUAUUGUAUUAACAAUAUUUUUUGUAAUAAAUUGCAUGAUUGCAUGUUUAUGAGAACCUUUUUUAAUGGAUUAAAAAGAAUUCUUUA